UAUAAUUUUCCACGUUGCUGAAGUGCUCAUUCUCCAACCUGUACAAAUGAUGUCCAUUAAUGGUAGAAACAAUUUUUUUUUUUAUGUGUUUCGUGUGUGAGCCUACAAGUAGAGUGAUUAAUGUUUGAGGCCAAGGAACUAAUGUUUGAGGCCAAGGAACGUACCUGAAGAAGUUCCAAAUGCCACGACGAAGUAUCUCCAAGCAUGCAACGACAGAGACCAUGGCAUUUCUGUGGAGAAAUGGGAGAUGGAAAUCAAGAACCAGCUGCAUCCACA
rnacentral:lncRNA from 1 species